rnacentral:rRNA from 1 species
AUUGAACGCUGGCGGCAGGCCUAACACAUGCAAGUCGAGCGAGAGGCGGACGGGUGAGUCAUGGAUGGGGAUCUGGCUGAUGGAGGGGGAUAACUAAUGGAAACGGUAGCUAAUAACGCAUAACAUCAGAUGAGCCACUGUGGGAUUAGGUGGUAGGUGAGGUAAAGGCUCACCUAGGCGACGAUCCCUAGCUGGUCUGAGAGGAUGAUCAGCCACACUGGGACUGAGACACGGCCCAGACUCCUACGGGAGGCAGCAGUGGGGAAUAUUGCACAAUGGGCGCAAGCCUGAUGCAGCCAUGCCGCGUGGAUGAAGAAGGCCUUCGGGUUGUAAAGUACUUUCAGUAGGGAGGCGUUACCGACAGAAGAAGCACCGGCUAACUCCGUGCCAGCAGCCGCGGUAAUUC